rnacentral:misc_RNA from 1 species
GAUGAAGAACGCAGCGAAAUGCGAUAAGUAAUGUGAAUUGCAGAAUUCAGUGAAUCAUCGAAUCUUUGAACGCACAUUUCGCCCGCCAGUAUUCUGGCGGGCAUGCCUGUUCGAGCGUCAUUUCAACCAUCAAGCCCCCGGCUUGUGUUGGGGACCUGCGGCUGCCGCAGGCCCUGAAAAGCAGUGGCGGGCUCGCUGUCACACCGAGCGUAGUAGCAUACAUCUCGCUCUGGGCGUGCUGCGGGUUCCGGCCGUUAAACCACCUUCAUAACCCAAGGUUGACCUCGGAUCAGGUAGGAAGACCCGCUGAACUUAAGCAUAUCAAUAAGCGGAGGA